AGCAGCCGCGGUAAUUCCAGCUCCAAUAGCGUAUAUUAAAGUUGCUGCAGUUAAAAAGCUCGUAGUUGAAUUUCGGGACCAUCAUGUCGGUCGUGCUUCGGUACGUACUGGCAUUGUUGGUUUCUACCUUCUGACGAACCAUGAUGUCAUUUAUUUGGUGUCGUGGGAAAUCAGGACUGUUACUUUGAAAAAAUUAGAGUGUUUAAAGCAGGCUCACGCUUGAAUACAUUAGCAUGGAAUAAUGAAAUAGGACGUUUGAUUCUAUUUUGUUGGUUUCUAGGAUCGACGUAAUGAUUAAUAGGGAUAGUUGGGGGCAUUAGUAUUCAAUUGUCAGAGGUGAAAUUCUUGGAUUUAUUGAAGACUAACUACUGCGAAAGCAUUUGCCAAGGAUGUUUUCAUUAAUCAAGAACGAAAGUUAGGGGAUCGAAGACGAUCAGAUACCGUCGUAGUCUUAACCAUAAACUAUGCCGACUAGGGAUCGGAUGAUGUUAAUUUUUUAAUGACUCA
rnacentral:rRNA from 1 species